rnacentral:rRNA from 1 species
UACGGGAGGCAGCAGUGGGGAAUAUUGCACAAUGGGCGAAAGCCUGAUGCAGCUAUGCCGCGUGUAUGAAGAAGGCCUUAGGGUUGUAAAGUACUUUCAUCGGGGAGGAAAAAACAAAACUAAUAAUUUUAUUUCUUGACGUUACCCGAAAAAGAAGCACCGGCUAACUCCGUGCCAGCAGCCGCGGUAAUACGGAGGGUGCCAGCGUUAAUCAGAAUUACUGGGCGUAAAGAGCACGUAGGUGGUUUUUUUAAGUCAGAUGUGAAAUCCCUGGGCUUAACCUAGGAACUGCAUUUUGAAACUGAAAUACUAGAGUAUCGUAGAGGGAGGUAGAAUUCUAGGUGUAGCGGUGAAAUGCGUAGAUAUCUGGAGGAAUACCUGUGGCGAAAGCGGCCUCCUAAACGAAUACUGACACUGAGGUGCGAAAGCGUGGGGAGCAAACAGGGAUUAGAUACC